rnacentral:rRNA from 1 species
AUUGAACGCUGGCGGAAUGCUUUACACAUGCAAGUCGAACGGCAGCAUAGGUGCUUGCACCUGAUGGCGAGUGGCGAACGGGUGAGUAAUAUAUCGGAACGUGCCCAGUCGUGGGGGAUAACGUAGUGAAGAUUACGCUAAUACCGCAUACGAUCUAAGGAUGAAAGCGGGGGAUCGCAAGACCUCGCGCGAUUGGAGCGGCCGAUAUCAGAUUAGGUAGUUGGUGAGGUAAAGGCUCACCAAGCCAACGAUCUGUAGCUGGUCUGAGAGGACGACCAGCCACACUGGAACUGAGACACGGUCCAGACUCCUACGGGAGGCAGCAGUGGGGAAUUUUGGACAAUGGACGCAAGUCUGAUCCAGCCAUUCCGCGUGCAGGACGAAGGCCUUCGGGUUGUAAACUGCUUUUGUACAGAACAAAAAGGUCUCUAUUAAUACUAGGGGCUCAUGACGGUACUGUAAGAAUAAGCACCGGCUAACUACGUGCCAGCAGCCGCUGUAA